GGCGGUGUCUUAUCUGCUUCCAUUGAUUUCGUGAUGCUCCUCCUUUUGCUGUGGUGUUCUCCGAGCCUUGUGCCUCCCUUCUUCCCACAACGAGGUUUGCUUGCCAGUAUCCUUUCACCAUGUCUUCAUUUCGCUGCAUUUCUGUAGGAUCCUGCUAGAUCUGGCUUAAAGGUGUGCUUGUUCCCGUGUGUAGUGGUGGAUCCUAGCUCUUUUAGGUUGUUUGUGGUGGUUCCUAGAUGUCUGAUUUUUGUUGCAGAUGGAGCAACAUAUAGUAGAUGUAGAUGCAGCAACACCUGAUUCAAUAUAGUUGUAGGGUUUGGUUCCCUUAUGCCUAUUUUUUAUUUAUGCUCCCGAAUGUUUCUGUAGUUGUUCAUGUGCCCCUAUAUGUGUACAACCCCUAGAUGUGUGGAUGUAAAUGUUGAUUUAGCUCGUAGAUGUUUCGACUGUAUGUGUGUACGAUGCCAGUUGUUUUUGUCAGUGAGUUGGGCUGUAACUUUGGGCGAAAUCGGAGUGAUUGGGACUGAAUUUUACCAGUUAAGCGUCAGUGAUUCUGGACUGUAGUUUCAAGUUUUAUCAGUCCAUCUUACUCUGUAAUUUUUGAGUGCUUUUGUGUCUGUCUUUGCAACUUCAGUGAUGUGUAAGUUUCAGUGAUCUACUCUGUAAUAUUUGAGUGCUUUUGUCUCUGGCUUUGUAACUUCAGUAAUGUGUAAGUUUGAGUGAUCUACUCUAAAUUUUCCACUUGUUUUCCAGCACCUAUUACACUCAGUAUCAGUGUAACUACAGUCUGAAUUGUAUUGUGAAUUAACUCUGGGCUGCAAGUUUGUAUGUCCCUUUUUAUCCUUUGCUAGCUUUUGUUGUACAUCCCUUCGUUGUCGUAGCUAGUGCGUUCUGCUAGCAAAUUUCAGCUCUGUUCUUUGUGUUUCUGUGAAACAGAAUGUCCUUUUCAUUUUCGGCUUUGUAAAUGUUUGAUUGCUCUAUCUGAAAUCCCUGUUUUCUUAGUGGAUUUAUAGUGUGUUUUCUGAGUGUUCUACACUGUAAUUCUUAGUGGAUUUACAGUGUAAUUUCUUAGCGGAUUUACACUGUAAUUCCUUAGCGAAUUUACACCGUAAUUUUAGGUGGAUUUUUUUACUAGAUUUACACUGUAAUUUUCAGUGAAUUUACACUGUAUUUUUAGUGGAUUUAUACUGUAAUUUGCAAUGGAUCUACACUGUAAUUCUUAGUGGAUUUACUCUGUAGUUUUCAGUUGAUCUUUCGUUGUAAUCCUAUAAGAAUUACACUGUAUCUCUUGAUUUUUACAGUGUAAUUCUUAGUGGAGUUACACUGUAAUCCUUAGUGUUUUUGUAGUGACUAUUAGUUAUUCUUGGAUUACCUUGUAUUUACACUGUAGCUCUUGAUUUUACGGUGUAAUUUUCAGUGUAUUUACACUGUAAUUCUUAGUGUAUUUUUGGCUAGAGUCUGUUAGCGGGGUUUUACCCUUGUAAUCUGCAUUUGACUAGGGACUAUUAUGUGGAUUAUUUUUGUAUUAUCUUUAGUAGAUCUUAUAGUGUAAUUCUUAUUGUAUUUACAGUGUAACUCUCAGUGGGCUUACACUGUAAUUUUUCAGUUGAUUCUCCUCUUAGUGAAUUUGACUAGGACUGUUAGUUGGUUUUUACCCUUGUACUCUGCAGUUGAGUAGGGUCUAUUAUGUGGAUUUUUAGGUCUGAACAUUUUUCAGGUAGCCAAUCUCUAUCUUGUUUGUAAUUUACUUUCAUGCAUUUGGUUGUUUCUUUAUUUUAUUUUUUUACCGUAAUGUCAUUUUGGUUUUGCUGUGUAGGUUGCAAGUCUCUUGCUCUUGACUCUACAAAGAAAGCAUCAAAUGAUUCGUUAGUUGGUAAAUCUGCUGGUUAUAUUUAGUCAAACGAGGGUACAAAGGAUGGUCCAAAUUUGGUUUCUUGUGUGUGCCAUGUAGUAUCAGUGCUUAACUUUUUUCUUUAGUUUCAGUGCGAUCUUCAUAGUAAUUACAUUUAAAAGAUCAUAGUAAUACUAAGUUCAAGUGACAGUAAGUUGCCCUUUUAUAAAGUUCCAAAGUUUCAAAUAUUCAAUCAUAGUGUCAUUUUGGUUUCUGAGCAGGAACAUAUUGGUUUCUCUAUAUAAUACACUGUAUUUUACACUGUAGUUCCAGUGGUCUAGCACUGGAAUUACAGUUUGCUUACACUGUAAUUCCAGUGGUCUAGAGAUGUAAUUCAAACUGUAAUUACAAAGGAUUUUUCACCCUGGUCCACUACUGUAAUUUCUAUUGCUGUCCACUGAAAUUUUAGUGGUCUAGUAUUGUAACUACAGUUUGUCUGUCACUGUAAAUUCCUUAUCUGCCAGUGUAAUUUAGUUUCACAUGUUAUUUUUCUGUUCCUCUGUAACCAUAGUGUAAAAACACUUGUUAGAUUUUGCUUUUGUGUAGGAUCUACUCAUCUGUAUAUGUUCUUAUUGCUUUUUCUAGUGAUCUAUUGAUUUUGAGUUUAUAACAAGAGUGCUCUGUGGAUUCUGAUCUGCUCUUUCGCUUUGCUAGCAACAUGUUGCUGCUCAAGGUAGAACAAUAUUUUUUGCAUUAGCUAAUGAACGUUUUUGCAGGAUUUCUUUCCCUGCUGUUUUAUAUUUAAAUUUCACAAUGAUAGUACCUUGUACAUCAUUUGCGCCUGAAGUAGUUGAGUAAAAGAGUAUGCCCUGCUCUGUUAUUUUGUUAAGAAUCAAGUUAGAAAAGCAUGGUUGAAUAUGUUUGUUCAUUUUUUUAGUUUAAAAAAAAAGCAAUACAGAAACAAUACAAAAAGAGUAGAGCUUUUGUGUUUCAUGAUCUACUCUUUCAUGAUUUGUUACUGGUUUUUUUACUCUCUAUCUUUUUAAUUUCAGUCGUACUUCCCUAUUGGUCUCGAUGGUCGCUUUUCGUUUGUCGUGUGUAUCGAAGAUAGAGCUUUUGUGUUUCUUGACUCAGCGUUUGGAGAGAACUCAAUGUAUCAUAGAGAUAUCUAUGAUGAGCUGGUGAUUUUUCUUGCAUGAUUGUGGUGUCUUCACUCUGAAGUAUAUGGAGAUCUUCACACCAAGAACUUAGAUGGCAAAUCUUUUCUCCAAUGUAGACAUUCGAAAUCUUAGGAUCAAAUAUGUGAAUGACAUGUUUUUCAGCCCCUUGAACAGCUGCGACAAAUCUUUUGUCACUGCUUUCUUUGGCAAUUUAUGUUCUUAUUUUCCUUGUCCUCUAUUUCAUUUUCUUUUCUCCUUAUUAGCUUUUUUUUCUUUGCCUAUUCUGGUCUCUUUGAUUUUUUUUUGUGUAGGGAGGCAAUGCCAAGUGAGGUUCAGCAUGUGCACAGUCCUAGCUCAAUUGGUGGAUGAGUUCCCCUUUUGAGUAGCAUGUAACAUAGAACCACUAGUGCAAAUCAUUUGGAUUAUUGGUGGAUUUACAAGGUCUUUUUUAGUGCAUUUAAAGUGGCAUCUUUAAUGCAUCUUGCACUGUAAUUCUUAGUGGUUAAUCUUAACAGUUUUUUCAGUGCAAACCAUUUGGAUUGUUGGUAGAUUUACAGUGUCAUUUUAGUGGAUUUUACAGUGUAAUUUUAAUGCAUCUUACACUGUAAUUCUUAGUGGGCAUGAUAGAAAGUAUUGUCGAUUUUAGUGGAUUUUACAGCAAAUUUCUUGGUGGUAAUAUUAUUGUAAUUAUACUUCUUUGUCAAUGUAAUUUUUAGGUGACAUCAUCUUGGUCCUUUC
rnacentral:rRNA from 1 species